UGGGGAAUUUUGCACAAUGGGGGAAACCCUGAUGCAGCGACGCCGCGUGAUUUAGAAGGCCUUCGGGUUGUAAAAAUCUUUUCUAUGGGAAGAAAAUGACAGUACCAUAGGAAUAAGGACCGGCUAAUUACGUGCCAGCAGCCGCGGUAAUACGUAAGGUCCGAGCGUUGUCCGGAAUCAUUGGGCGUAAUGGGUACGUAGGCGGGUAAGCAAGUUAGAAGUGAAAUCCUAUAGCUCAACUAUAGUAAGCUUUUAAAACUGCUCAUCUUGAGGUAUGGAAGGGAAAGUGGAAUUCCUAGUGUAGCGGUGAAAUGCGCAGAUAUUAGGAGGAAUACCGGUGGCGAAGGCGACUUUCUGGCCAUAACCUGACGCUGAGGUACGAAAGCGUGGGUAGCAAACAGG
rnacentral:rRNA from 1 species